AAGUGCAAUUUUUAUAAAAAAUCAUCUAUCAAAAGUUUAAGCAUUCUUAACAUCCACUUUAAAGAAUUAAAAAAAAUUCCAAAAACAAGAGAUUAAAACUUACCUUGACUUUGAGCCAGAUGAAGAAUUUUUGAUGUGACAUAUCUGGC